rnacentral:tRNA from 1 species
AAGGCUUUAAGUUAAUAAAACUAAUAGCCUUCAAAGCUAUAAAUAUUGGUAAAAAUCUUUUAAGCCUUA